rnacentral:snRNA from 1 species
GGAUGUGAGCGCAAUCUGGCUGAGACAUCUGUCACCCCAUUGAUUGCCAGGGUUGAUUCGACUGAUCUGGCUGGCUAGGCAGGUGUGCCCUUCCUCACCACUCCAUGUGCAUCCCUUCUGAAGCUACGUGCUUGGUUGAAGUAGACAACCUUCCCCAAUAGAGGAGGACUGUUCUUUGGUCAAGGGUAUACAAGUAGCUGUGCUCCCCUGCUAGAAUCUCUAAACAAGGUCUCAAGAAAUUGGGAUUCAAGAGUAAAGAAUCCAAAUUCAGUUUCAAAACUGAAGGUCUAUCAAUACCCUUC